UGUGUGUGUGUUUCUUUCCAUUUAUAUUCCUGGAGUCAAGUAUAUUGUUUUCUCUACUUAUUUCAUUCCUUCAGUUCAUAGAAACCUUUCCAUGCUUCUCAUUAUUCACCAAUAUAUCAUACUUUGUAGCACAGCUACCUUCCAUUACAUUCAUAAUUUGUUUAGUCAUUCCCCAGCUGAUAGAUGUUUAUUUUGUUUCCAAUUCUUUGUUAUGAAAGAAAGUGCUGCUAUAAAUAUUUUGGAAGCAGUGGCUUCCUUGGAAGACAAACCCAUAAUGGAGUCUUUGGUUCAGAGGAUACAGACAUCUUAGUCAUUUUAUUUGCAUAAUUUCAAAUUGCUUUCCAAAAUCGUAUCAUUUCACAGCUCCAUCAAUAAUGUAUUUAGUGUUCCAAUCAUCCUUCAACCCCUCUAGCAUUGAGUAUUGCUAAUUUUUUUUCUCCUCUUUGCCAGUUUUCAGGAUAUGAAGUAAAACCUCAGGGUUGUUCUGAUGUGUAUUUCUUGUGUGGUUGUGAAUAUUUUGCAAUUCUUUUGAGAACUGCUUGUUUAUGUCCUUUUACCACUUAUAUGUUGGGGAAUGUCUCUGUCAAUUAGGUUUUUAGAUACUUUAAAUGGACAGUGAGCUGAAUUUAGAUCUCAAUAGGAAUAAGGGAGUGUGAUUAAUUACCUAUUGAAAAUUGCAUUUUUAAUGAUUCCAUCUUCCCUCUUGGAACUUUUCUACAGGCUUGUUUUCCAUACCUAGAAUAUAUAGUGUCAUCACCUACACUUUUUAGAAUGCUUAAUUCCCCUGAAGCCUUGCUUAAAUGCUACCUCCUACAUAACUCACAGCUAGGUUAAAUGGAAGGUAGAGUGCUGGACCUGGAGUCAGGGAGACCUAAAAUCAAGUUUAAGAUACCUAAUGACAGGACCCCAACCAAGUCAUUAAUCUCUGUCUGCUUCCAUUUUCUUAUCUAUAAGAGAGAAUAAUGAACAGCUGUUAUCCUCCUACAUUAUUGUAAGGAUCAAUUGAGACAAUAUUCAUAGAGCACUUUGCAAAUCUUAAAACACUUUAGAAAUGCUUGUGAUGAUAACAUGCUUGAUCCCACCAGAUGCUUAAUGCCUCCCUCCAAAGUUAUCUUGUGUAGUGUAGGUGUGCUCAUUGUCUCAACUCUUAGAAUAUAAACUAUAAAGGGUAAUAUAUAAGCCUAAAAGUGUAGGUUGGGCAAGUUGUGAUGGAUUUUAAAUGUCAAACAGAAGAACUUUAAGUAGGAUUCCUGAAUUAAUAAGGUGCCAUUGGAAUUUGAGUAGGGGAGUGACAUAGUCAGAUCUGGGCUUUAGGAAAAUUACUUUAAUGUUCAUGUAGGACAGAUAUGUCAAACUUAUAGCCCAUUGCUGCAAGCAGAUAUUAAUUUGUAGUUUUCUAAGUCAAAAUGCUCCCAUAGGACCUGUUUCUAUUUGACACCACUAUUAAUGAAAAUGAAGUAGAGCAGGAAGAGACUUGAGACAGAGAGGCUAAAAAGCUGGCUGGGAGUAAUGGGGACCUGAAUAAGGAUAGUGGCUGGGUCAGUGGAAAAAAAAUUGAUUAUUUUAAGAUGUUAUAGAUGAAGAAAUUAUAAGAUUUUUCAAUUUUCUGAAUUUGUAAGGUGAAAAAAUUAAGAGUUCAGGAGAAUGGUAGGUAGGUAUGAUAGAAUCCCUGGCAGGAACAGGGAAAUCUAGGGAAAGGAUGAGUUUGGAGGGAAUGAUGAAUUCUAUUUUGGACAUGUUAAGUUGGAGAUGCCUAUAGGACAUUCAGUUUGAAAUGACCAAAAGAAGUUGUUGUUUUAAGAGUGACUCUAAUAAGAGAGACAAAACUGGAUCUCUAGCUCCAGAAAUCAUUAGAAUGAUUAUAUCCAUAUGAGAUGAUGAAGGCACUGAGAGAAAGAGAGAAGAAAUAGAGGCCCUAAGACAGAACCUGGAAUAAUAUUCAAUAAAAGAAAGCUUUAUUCAAAUAAAAGCAGCUUGGGAGAAAGUAGUGUCAUUAAUUAGAAAUUAUUUCAUGCAGAGGAUUUGUAUUUUAAUAUUCCAUUUGUGAUCUACUUGUGAAUAAUACUUUUUCAAAUGGAGUGAUUAGUAAUAAGGAAUGAUUGAUAAACUGCAUCUAGAUAAAAAUGUGACUUUGAAGAAUGAAGUAUGUGUUUAAUUUGUGUCUCUCUGGGAAAUGAUUUCCUUGAGUAAUAAGAAAAUUAUUUACAAUACAGAAAGUCUUUUAUAAAGGGAGAAAAAUGUAAGUGGAGUCUCAAUUACCCUUGAUAUAUAUUUCAAUAUUUGUUACUCCAGUUUCAUGGCUUACUUCCUGGCUAUUUUCUUGGGAGCAACUUUGUUGUCUAAACCAGAAGCCAUGCCCUGUGAAUUCUAUCCUUUUUUCACCACUUAUACUAAGCUCCAAGUCCCAGAUGUCCUGGUCAGUGGUUAUUUCAGGCUCUCACCACAUAUUAGUUCAACUCCUGCCUACUUUCACUUUGGCCAUCUUCUCACUAGAAACCUUGCCUAUUUACGUGGGCUCCAUCACUCUGUCCUCUCAUUUUCUAGUUCUUGAACAUCUAUAUUCAAAUUCAUUCUGUCAUUGUUCUUAUAAAGGACAUAUCAAUUUACUUCUCUGAAGUUCCAGUCACUGUUCCUGUGACUCUUUUAAGCCAAAACCAUCCUCUGUGCCCACCAUUUCCCUGCAUGUCUUUUAGAAUGUAAACUUCUCAGUGGAAGAUACGGAUCUUUUGCUUUUGUUUUUUUCCCUCAGCACUCUGCAUAGUUCUUGGUACGUAGCUUACUUUAAUAAAUACUUCUUGAUUCAUUCUUGUUCCACAUAAUAGACAGACUUUGUAUGAAAAAAAAUGUUUUUGAUAUUUCAGAAAUUACUGACAUUCUAAGAUGUGGCUGUCGAAUUCACCUGGGAGAAAUGGGGGCUGUUGAAACCAGCUCAGAAGGACUUGUUCAGGAAUGUGAUGCUGGAAAACUAUGAGAAUUUUAUCUCCCUUGGGUCAUGUCAGUUUUCAAGCCAGAUGUCAUCUCCCAGUUGGAAAAAGGAGCAGUAUCAAGGUGUCCAGCUGAAGAAGUUUCAAGAGCCUUUAUCUUGAUUUUCCUCAUAAAUGUAACAUAAUUGGACAGAAAUACAGUCAGGAGUCAAUUCCUGAUGCCCAAAAGCGAAUUCUUGGAGUAAAUGUAAAACAAUAUUCAGCUGUAAUUGAGAAUGAUAAAAUCGCUGGAGGUGAAAACCUUUAUGAAUAUAAUAAAUGCAAGAUCUUCACUUGCCAUUCAAACUAUAUUUUUCAGCAUGGAACAGAUACUCAAAGAAAACACUUUAAACAUAAAAUAUCCAGGAUAACCAUUAGCAGUAAACAAAAUCUAAUUACUCACCAUUCAGAUGAUUCUGAGGAGAAUCUAUUUAAAUGUAAUUUAGCAACCUUCAACAAAAUUCAAAGCCUAUCUCAACAUCAAAAGAUUAAUAGUAGAGAGAAGUUGUUUGAAUGUAAAGAAUAUAGGAAAGCCUUCAACAGAAAGGGGACUGUCUAUAAACAUCAGAUGAUUCAAAGUGGGGAAAAACUCUAUAUAGGUAAUGAAUGUAGCAAAGCCUUUAGCCAAAAGGGGAUUCUUUUUAAACAUAAGAAGAUUCACACUGGUGGGAAGCCUUAUGUUUGCAAUGAAUGUGGCAAAACCUUCAAGUAUAGAAGACAUCCUGAAAUAGAAAUAACUAUUUCAUUCAUUCUGGAAAAAAGCCCUGUAAAUGUAAUGUAUGUGGGAAAGUCUGUAGUAAAAAGUGUCACUUAGAAAAACAUUAAAAAAAAUUCAUUUUUCUGGAGAAAAGCCCUGUAAAUAUUCUGAUUAUGGGAAAACCUUCAGCAGUAAUAAUUACCUAAUUGAACAUCAAAAAAUUCAUACUGGAGAAAAGCCCUUUAAAUGUAAGAAAUAUGGGAAAGGCUUCAGUCAAAAGGGACCACUCUAUAUGAACCUAACAGAAUCCAUGUGGAGUGGAGAAAAUUCCUUUGAAUGUAAUGAAUGUGGGAAAACAUUCAUCAGUAAUCAAAAUCUAUCACAUCAAAUUAUACAUACUAGAAAGAAAACCUAUAAAUGUAGUGAAUGUGGAAAAACUUUCAUCAGUAAGGGCUACAUAAUCCAACAUCAACGAAUUCAUGCUGAUGAGAAGCCUAAAAAAUGUAAUGAAUGUGGGAAAGCCUUCCUUAGUAAUCAAGACCUAGUUUGACAUCUAAUUAGCCAUACUGGAUAGAAACCCUAUAAAUGUAAUGAAUGUGGAAAAGCUUUUAGGAAUAAUAGCUACCUUAUUAGACAUCAAAAAAUCCAUAAUUUAUAGGAGUCAAAUAAAUGUUAUGAGUGUGGGAAAUCCUUUAGCAGUAAUAGUUACUUACUUUAACAUAAAAAAAUCCAUAUUGGAGCAAAGCCCUAUAAAUGCAAUGAAUGUGGGAAAGCCUUCAUAGUAAUAGCUAUAUAAUUGAACAUCAAAGAAUCCAUAUGAGAGAGAAACCUUAUAAAUGUAGUGAAUGGGAAAAAGCUUUAAUCACUAAUCAAAAAUUAUUACAUCAAAGAAUACAUACUAAAGAGAAGCCCUUUAUAUGUAAAGAAUAUGGAAAAGGCCUCAGUACUAAAUUGUACCUAAUUCAACAUCAGAGAAUCCAUACUGGAGAGAAACCCUAUAAAUGUGAUGAAUGUAGAAAAGCCUUUAUCAGUAAUCAAAAUCGAUUACAAUAUCAAAGAAUCCAUACUGAAUUGAGACACCUCUCUAUACCAAUUCUUUUCCUUGAUACACAAAAUGAAACUAAUGUAUGUGGUUCAAAGUUCAUGAAGGACUUCAUAUUGGAAAUAAAACUGUUCAGAUCUAAUAAUAGAAAGAUAGGUCCAGAAAAUUUCACAGAAUCAUAGAAUUUCAGAAUUAAAAGACUCAUCUAGUUCCAUUUCUAUCUGGGAAAAAUAAAUCCUUUGUGUAAGAUAAAGCAAGCAACUUUUAUUGUAAGACUUCUAAUGAAAUUUAGAGAAACACUGUCUCCUGAACAUUUGGUUUCUAUUUUGAAUAGGUUUUUUUUUUCUUAUUUCAAGCUUAAAUUAGCUUUUUUGCAAUUUAUAUCCAUUCUCUUAGUUAUAGUCUGUUCAAACAGACUCUUUAUUAUUUGGUCAUCUCACAUACCCCUGAUACAUUUUUUUUUCUUCAGGUGAAAACGUCCCAAUUCUAUUAACUCAUGUUCAUGUGACAUGAAUAGAAGCCCUUUAGCUUUAUGUUCACCUCUUUUUCCAUACUCUAGCAAUGUUCCUUUAUUUAUUUAUUUUUAUAAUUGAUGAUAGUAUUCUAAUUGUAUUCUGAGUCAUCGUAGAGCUAUACACACUGGAUAGUAUAUCUCUUCUAAUAUAGUUUAAGAUUGAAUUACCCUUUUUACUGCCCUUUUACACUAUUUGAGUCCUUUUAAACCUAUCAUCCACCAAAAUCUCUAGAUGUUUUGCGGAGACAACUUGGUAUGCUGAACAACAUUGGAGUCAGCAGAGAUUCCUAAAACUUUUUUGAGCCAUUGAUAUGAAAUGAAAUUGUAAUUUAUUCUAUACUGCAGAUCAGGGUAUUAGAUUUUUUCACCAGCUGCAUAUGGUUAUGUUGAGAGGGUAAUGCGACUUAGUUCUUAUGUCUCUCUUUUUGAUCAUAUAAAAUUGCUAUUUAGUGACAUUAUUCUAGGUGCUGGGGAGAUUAUAUAAAACAAGGUCUUUGACAAUGUAUUUUGAAGGGUAUGACAUUUUGUAAUAACUAAUAUAAACUGGCAUAUGAGAUAAACACAUGUAGUCUAUUAUGAAAAUUCAUAAAAGUGCUUCCUGAACCUCUAAUCUUCUGUGUAGAAUAUGUGAGGGAUGUAGAAGACCCUUACCCAAAAUGACUACUCAGAGAUCACUCAGUAGAAGGCAGAAAAGUUGUUUAUUGAAAAACCUCCGGAGGAUGAGCCAUCCCAUCGCAAGAUAAGCUCGCGGUAGGAGGGCUAAAGAAGUAGUAAAGAUACAUAGCUUUUAUACAAGAAAUUACAUCACAAGUAAGAGAGCAUUGAGAAGGGGAGGGGGAGGCAUCUAAUUGGUUGUUGCUAUUUGGGGAGAUUGGAAUGGAAGGUUUCUGUUUCCCUGAAAUCUCCUGAUUUCUGGGAAACAAAGUCAGGCCUUCAGGCUUAAUCAAGCAGACAGUGGUCCAGCUAAUAGACUAAAUAUUGAUAAAUGUCAAAUACCAAUAAAUGUCAUCAGUUCAGGUUAAGUAAAUAUGUUUCUAGCUGGCUGCUUAAGUAGAUAUGAGCCUGCACAUAUUAUACAUGUCAUAGGGGAGACACAGAAAUAAUAAAAUAAAGAAAAAGAAUUCAUACAUUCCUGUAAAUUCUUCACCUUU